GGAGCCUGGGAGCUCC
rnacentral:misc_RNA from 2 species